UGAUAUUAAUACGGGACGAUAUACUAUGUAAUAAU
rnacentral:sRNA from 1 species